UUUUUUUUUUUUUUUUUUUUUUCUUUUUUCUUUUUCUUUUUAGUAUCGAACCUGCAGCAUAUGGAAGUUCCCAAGCUAGGUGGUGAAUUAGAGCUGCCACUGCUGGCCUACACCACAGCCACAGCAAUGUGGGAUUCAAGCUAUAUCUGUGACCUAUGCCACAGCCUGUGGCAACUCAGGAUCCUUAACCACUGAGCAAGGCUAGGGAUUGAACCUGAAUCCUCAUAGACCCUGUUGAGUUCUUAGUCCACUAAGCCACAGCAAGAACUCCAGGUAUGGGGUCUUAUAAUCAAAAUUCAUCUCUAUAGAAAUGAUAAAGCUCUAUGUUGGCUCCCUCAGAACUCUUGCUAUGGUCAUAAAGUGGGCUUUGCUCCAGUCUCUCAAAAAGCAGAGAAGUGGAAAAAAACACAAUUCUCUUGGGUUCAUGUAGCUCUUAUAUGGCUCAGGUCCUUCUAAAUUUCAAGACGAAGUAAAUAUCCUAGCACCUGGGAACUUCCGUAUGUUGUGGGUGCAGCCCUUAAAAACAUAAGCACGCAAAGAAACAAAAAACUAGAACAAAAGAGAAGCUGGGUCAAAUAUACUUGGGCUUAUUUCCACAGCUUUGGAACAGCACUUGUAAAGGGAAGAGUAACCAUGCCCACCCUCAUCACACAGAAAGCUGUUGCUCACUAGGGUUUGUUUUUUCAUUAAAGUUCUUAGUGGGAGUUCCCACUGUGGCUCAGCGAAAACGAACCAGACUAGGAUCCAUGAGGGUUUGGGUUUGAUCUCUGGCCUUGCUCAGUGGGUUAAGGAUCCAGUGUUGCUGUGAACUGUGGUGUUGGUCACAGACUUGGCUCAGAUCUGGCUUUGCUGUGGCUGUGAUGUAGGCUGGCAGCUGCAGCUCUGAUUUGACCCCUAGUGUGGGUACUUCCAUAUGCCGAAAGUGCAGCUCUAAAAAGCAAAAACAGCCAACCAAACAAUAACUAGUUCUUAGUAAUAAGACUGGUAAACACUGAUGCAGAAACACAUUGAAAUCAUAGCCUGUCUCCUUGGUAGGCCAUUAUACUCCUCUAAGAUGCUCUACUGCCACCAGGAAUGUGGUUUCCAGAAAACCAAGCCAGUGAAACAAACAGAAACAUAAAAACAGAAAUGAAGUUGCCAGAGGCAAAGUUUCUCCGCUGCUUGGCCCAUGCAAACUCAUUCCUUCCAUACAUGUCCAGGAAUGGUGGCCUAUGGAUAGCAACUUAAAUCUACAUACUUCUGCUUGUUUUUUUUAACAUAAAUAUUUUAUUUUUGAACAUGUAACAUAUAUACAUAUUUUAAAAAUUCACAAAGUACAAAGAUCAUGUUAGUAAUCAGAAAUAAUCCCUCUCCCUAUUAUUUAUUUAUAGUUUUUUUCUUUUUUAUUACUCAAUGAAUUUAUUACAUUUAUAGUUGUACAAUGAUCAUCACAAUCAGUUCUCUAGUAUUUCCAUCCCCCACCCCCGGCGCAUCCCCCCACCCCCUAACCUCUCUCCUUUGGAAACCAUAAGUUUUUCAAAUUCUGUGAGUCAGUAUCUGUUCUGCACAGAAGUUCAUUCUGUCCUUUUUUCAGAUUCCACAUGUGAUAGCACUUGAUGUUGGUGUCUCAUUGUAUGGCUGACUUCACUUAGCAUGAUGAUUUCUAGGUCUAUCCAUGUUGCUAAAAGUGCCGUUAAUUUCAUUCCUUUUAAUGGCCGAGUAAUAUUCCAUUGUGUAUAUGUACCACAUCUUCUUGAUCCACUCCUCUGUCGAUGGACAUUUAGGUUGUUUCCAUGUCUUGGCUGUUGCAAAUAGUGCUGCAAUGAACAUUGGAGUACAUAUAUCUCUUUGAGUCAUGGUUUCUUCUGGAUAGAUGCCCAGGAGUGGGAUUGUUGGACCAAAUGGUAGUUCUACUUUUAGUUUUCUGAGGCAUCUCCAUACUGUUUUCCACAGUGGUUGCACCAAUUUACAAUCCCACCAACAGUGUCAUAGGGUUCCUUUUUCUCCACACCCUCUCCAGCACUUCUUGUUUGUAGCCUUUUUGAUGAUGGCCAUUCUGGCAGGUGUAAGGUGGUACCUCAUAGUGGUUUUGAUGUGCAAUAAUUAGUGCAAUAAUUAGUGAUGUUGAACAUCUUUUCAUGUGUUUUUUGGCCAUCCGUUUGUCUUCUUUGGAGAACUGUCUGUUUAGAUCUUCUGCCCUUUUUUUGUUGGGGUUGUUUGUUUUUUUUGGUAUUGAAUGGUAGGAGGUGUUUAUAAAUUUUGGAGAUUCAUUUGCAAAGAUUUUCUCCCAUUCUGUGGGUUGUCUUUUCGUUUAUUUUUAAAUUACAAAUAUUAAUAUAUGCUUCUUGUAACAAAUGUAUAAGAGUGCUCAAAGUAAAAAGGAAAAGCUAAGCUGUAUUAGUGCCCUGUUGCUGCUAUAAAAAACUACCAAGAACUCGGUGGCCUAAAACAACACAAAUUUAUUCUUUUAUGGCUCUGGUGCCAGGAGUCUGAAAUGGACCAGUCACCCCAUCUCAAGAUCCCCAGGGAUUCUGAUUUAAUUGGUCUGGGCUGUUGACCUGGGUGGGCGUCAGCACUUUCAAACUUGCAAAGUGAUUCUAACAUGAAAAAGCCCUUCCCUGAAUGUGCUGCUUUGUGACAAACAUGGAUGAUUUACUUAUUCUAUGACUCCUAGGGAUUUCCACCCUGUAUCAUACCUGUGUACUCCUGUUCACUCUCAGGAUGUUAGAUCCAUGGUAUGGGCUCGUGUGGUUGUUGGAGCCCUUUCCUCACAUCAUAAGAUACCCCUAGGGGAACAUGACUUUGUUAGCCAAAAUAAUGAUAUAUCUGUGAGGUGUAAUGAUCUCAAAGAUAACAAACCAGAGACCCCCAGGAGUAUUAGAACCAAACAGACCAAGAUAUUUAAAUAAGCUUAAUACAUAUGUGAAAAGACAAUACGGGCAGUCUGAAACAGAAACACAAAAACAUAAAAAGAACUUAAUAUAAAUAUCAGGUACAGAAAAGAACUGAAAUAAGCAACAUAACGGAUGGUAUCAAUAAUGGAAUGGAUACAGCUGAAGAAGCAAUUGUUGAGUUAAAACGAUUGAAAAACUCUCCCAAGAAGAAAACAGGAGAGGGCAAAGUAAUAGAAAAUAUAAAAGUUAAGCUAUAUGGAGAAGAGAAGUGGUAACUUCUACAGAUAAAUGAUUCUUGAAGGAGAGAAAUACAACAAUGAAGAAAAUAUGCGAAGAAACAAUGUAGAAUUUUUCCCAGAAUUAUAGAAAUACGAAAGACCUCAGAUUGUAAAGGCCCCUAAAGUUUCAAACGGAGAGAAAAGGGAAGUGUAGACAUAGAACAGUGUAAUUUAAGAAGACCAAAAACAAAUACGAUUUUGAUGUCUUACAAAGAAAAACACACAACCUUCAAAUAAUGUUAUUCUUCUUCCCAGUAGGAACAGAUGCAGGAAGACAAUAAUGUCUCAAUGCAUUGGAGGAGAACACUUUGAUUCUAGAGUUUUGUAUCCUGUAAAAUUUCCAUUCACAGGAAUGUGAAUGUAUGUCAGAACUUAAUGAAACAAUCUCAGCCAUACAAAAUUUCAAAAGGGUCUUUAAACAAAGAUGCCCAGUUUUCGAGAAAGUCUUCACAUAUGAAGAGGAACAAAUCUAGGAGAUGCUACAAAGAGAUAUGAAAAGUUGAUCACAUAACUGGGAAAAUAACACAAUCUAAUAAAACAGAAUAAAAGUAAAAAGAUAAGCAAAAUUGGAGAAAUUUUGUAUGUAACAACCCAGGAUUUAAAUCUUAAGAAUUAUCACAAGAUCAAGAUGACAGCGUGUGAAGGGAGAGAAAGGAACAUGAAAAUGGGCUUAACGUUCUAAUCUUGGAAGGAGGGUGUGGGUUGCAUUUGUCCCCAGAAAUAUAAUUCUAGUUCUAAACACCAGUCCCUGGGAAUGUGACCUUAUGUGGAAAUAGGGUUUUUAUAGAUGUGUUCACGUUAGGGUGAGAGCCAUGCUAAAUUAGGAUGGGUCCUUAAAACAUUGACUGGUGGUGCCCUUAUGAAGAAGGAAGUAUUUGGAUGUAGAAACACAGACACACAGGGAGAAAGGCCAUGUGAAAAUGAGGCACAGAUUGGAGUGGUCCAGUAACUCCAGAGCUAGGAGAGAGGCAAGAGAGGUGAGAAGCCGACCCUCCCUCCCAGCCUCCAGAGGGCGCCAACCCUGCCAACACAGCUUCAGACUUCCAGCCUCCAGAGAUGUGAUACAGUGCUUUUCUGUUGUAAGCCAUGCAGAUGGUGGUACUUUGUUAUGGCAGCCCCACAAUGAAAUAGGGAGAGAUACAGAUAUCAAGUUUAAAAGGGGGGAGGUAUAUAUAGAAAAGGAAGGAGUUCCUGUUGUGGCUUAGCCAAAAUGAGCCUGACUAUUUCCAUGAGGAUGGGGGUUUGAUCCCUGGCCUCGCUCAGUGGGUUAAAGAUCUGGCAUUGCCAUGAGCUGUGGUGUAGGUUGCAGAUGCAGCUUGGAUCCUGCAUUCUGUGGCUGUGGCAUAGGCUGGCAGCUGUAGCUCUGAUUCGACUCCUAGCUUGAGAACCUCCAUAUGCCAUGGGCGCGGCCCUAAGAAAACUGUAUGUAUGUGUGUAUGUAUGUAUGUAUAUUAGAAGGGAAACUGAAUGUAAAAAAGGAAGAUGAUACAGUUGAUAUAAAUAAACUUGCCAAUGAAAAAGGACAAAUUGAUAGAAUGGAUUUUUUAAAAACCCAGCUACAUGCUGAUUUAUAAAACAGACUUAAACACAUAAGGCUAUAGAGAGUUGGAAAGUAAAAGGAUGGAAAAUAUAUGUUAGGUAAAUUCUAAUUAAAAGAAAGCUGGUGUCACUGUAUUAAUAUAAAAAUAUACAAGGCCUUAAAACAGCAUCAUUAGGGAUAUAGAAGUUUACUGUACAAUAGUAAAUGGUCAGUUCCUAAGAAGAUAUAAAAAUUCUACACAUGUAUACAGUUGGUGAAUUAAUUCGAAUACUCAAAAAUUGAUAAAACUGGAGUUCCCGUGGUGCAGUGGUUAACGAAUCCAACUAGGAACCAUGAGGAUGCGGGUUCGGUCCCUGCCCUUGCUCAGUGGGUUAAGGAUCCGGCAUUGCCAUGAGCUGUGGUGUAGGUUGCAGACGCGGCUCGGAUCCUGCGUUGCUGUGGCUCUGGCAUAGGCCGGGGACUACAGCUGUGAUUAGACCCCUAGCGUGGGAACCUCCAUAUGCCGCGGGAGCGGCCCAAAGAAAUAGCAAAAAGACAAAAAAAAAAAAAAAUUGAUAAAACUAAGAAGAAAUUAACAAAUUUAAUGUCAUGGUAGAGAAUUUAGCAAACACCUAUUUGAAUGACACAAUUAAGCUUGACUUGAUAGCCACAUAUAAACAUUAGAAAAAUUCAUCAUUUUCUAAGCUGUUUUAUAAAACAAAUUUUAGCAAAUUUCAAAGAAUAGGUACAAAUUACAAUUGUUAGAAUUUCUUUUUUUCUUUUUUUUAGGGCUAGUCCUGCAGCAUAUGGAAGUUCCUGGGCUAGGUAGGAGGGUUGAAUAGGAGCUGCAGCUGCUGGCCCCAGCCACAGCCACAACAAUGCCACAUCUGAGCCCCACGGCAAUGCCACAUCUGAGCCGCAUCUGCAACUUGUGGCAAUGCCGGAUCCUUAACCCACUGAUCAAGGCCAGGGAUCGAACACACAUCUUCAUGGAUCCUUGUCAGGCUCUUAACCCGCUUAGUCACAAUGAGAACUCCUAUUAGAAUUUAAUGACAAAAACAAGAUACUGAAAUUUUCUAUUAUUUGGAGAUUUAAACAAUCUACACUUCUAAAAAGCUCAUGGCUUAAAUAUAAAAUUGUGAACAAAAUUAGAAAAUACUGAAAAAUCAGUGACAUUCCUUUCAACCAUGUGAACAUUUGAAAGAUGACCCGCAUAUUGUUGUUCUCUGAACAAAAUGAAUUAAGCUGGGAACAAAGGAGUUACUAGAAAAUCCUAAUGUGUUUGCCAUUUAAAAAUUAUACUUUUGAUAAUUUUUAUGUAAUAAAAAUAAUAACCCAUGGAUCAAAGAAGAAAUCAUAAGGAAAAUUAGAACAUGUUUUUUUGGUUUUAUUUUUUUGUCUUUUUAGGUCUAUACCUGGGGCACAUGGAGGUUCCCAAGAUAGGGGUCAAAUCAGAGCUGUAGCCUCUGGCCUACAUCACAGCCUCAGCAACCCCAGAUUCAAGCUGUGUCGCUGACUACACCACAGCUCAGAGCAAUGCUGGAUCCUUAACCCACCGAGUGAGGCCAGGGAUCAAACCCUUCGUCCUCACAUAUACUAGUCAGAUUCAUCUCCGCUGAGCCACGACAGGAACUUCUGAAAAUUACAACAUGUUCUGAACAAUAGCAGACAUAAUUCCUAUUAAAACAUGUGGAAUAUUAUCUUUACUACAUUAAAACAUAUGUUGAGGAAAAAUUAUAGCUAUCAGUGCAUACAUUUAAAAAGAAUAAAUGCUGAAAAUUCAUGAGUCAGGCAAAAUGAACCAUUAAAACUGACCAAAGAA
rnacentral:lncRNA from 1 species